UAACGCGUGAGGAACCUGCCUUUCAGAGGGGGACAACAGCUGGAAACGGCUGCUAAUACCGCAUAACAUAUAGGUAUCGCAUGGUGCCUAUAUCAAAGAUUUAUCGCUGAAAGAUGGCCUCGCGUCUGAUUAGCUAGUUGGUAGGGUAACGGCCUACCAAGGCGACGAUCAGUAGCCGGACUGAGAGGGUGGACGGCCACAUUGGGACUGAGACACGGCCCAAACUCCUACGGAAGGCAGCAG
rnacentral:rRNA from 1 species